UUUUCCAAAAACAUAUUUAAUAGAAUUUAUUAUUAAUGAAACCUGCUCAAUGUAAUAUCAAUAGCCGCAGUUCCUACUGUGCUAAGGUAGCAUAAUCAUUAGUCUUUUAAUUAAAGACUAGAAUGAAAGGUAUAAUAUUUAAAUUAUUUUAUAAAACUUUUUAUUUAAAUUUAAUUUAAAUGUAAAAAAGCAUUUAUUUUCAAGAAAGACGAUAAGACCCUAUUGAACUUAACUUUAGUUAAACUGGGGUAGUUAAAUAAAUAAUACUUUACAAAAUUACAACAAAAUGACCUAAUCUAAUUAAUUUCAUGAUCAAGUUACCAUAGGGAUAACAGCGUAAUAUUUUUCCAUAGAUCUUAUAUAAAAAAAAGAUUACGACCUCGAUGUUGAAUUAAUUAUUCUAAUAAAAGCAAAAUUUUAAAAAGAAGGUCUGUUCGACCUUUAAAUAAUCACAUGAUCUGA
rnacentral:rRNA from 1 species